rnacentral:tRNA from 1 species
GGGUAUAUAGCUCAAGUGAUAGAGCAUGUGUUUAGCAUGCAUGAGGUCCUGGGUUCAAUUCCCAGUACCUCCU